UUUUAUUUCCACAAGUGGUCAAUGCCACUAUGAAUCAGACUGGCUGGAACAGCUUGAUUAGCAGGCUGUUCCAGCCAAUGAAACCAAGGAAGGAAGCAACAGACAAAGAGGAGGAGGAAGCUCCAUACUUUGGAGGAUUUGCUGUCUGGCUGAACUGUUUGUUACUGACCCCACAACCUGUUCAGCACUUCCAUCACUUCACCCGACUUGGAUGAAGAAAAUGGAGAAACAGAGCUUGUGAGAUCUGGAAUUGCUGCAGCUGCAGGCAGCUGUGUGUGUGUGUGUGUGUGUGUGUGUGUGUGUGUGUGUGUGUGUGUGUGUAGCCCUCUACCAGAUAGGGAGUGAGCUGUAUUUUAAAUUAAUUAUUUUUAUUUUAUUUUAUUUUAUUUUGAUUGAGUGCUGCUCUGGCGGGUUGCCACAAAAGAGACUUGAGAGAUUGAGGAGAGACUUUAUGGGGUGGGGUGGGGAGGAUCUUGAGAAGAAGCUGGAUUUUGAAAAGGAGUUUAUGAAAUGAUUGAGAGAGGGAAUCUGAGAAGGGACAGAGACUGGAAGACUGGAAGGAGAGGAGAGCAGCAGCUUCCUACUGUCAAGUAGCUCCAGCACAAGGAAACUGAGGCCAGAAACUGCAGCCAAGUCUGAAGAUCUGCAUCAUUAUCCAUUUUGUGGAAUAUAACCUUUGUGAAGUU